AGUGAACGCUGGCGGUAGGCCUAACACAUGCAAGUCGAACGGCAGCACAGUAAGAGCUUGCUCUUACGGGUGGCGAGUGGCGGACGGGUGAGGAAUACAUCGGAAUCUACUUUUUCGUGGGGGAUAACGUAGGGAAACUUACGCUAAUACCGCAUACGACCUACGGGUGAAAGCAGGGGAUCUUCGGACCUUGCGCGAUUGAAUGAGCCGAUGUCGGAUUAGCUAGUUGGCGGGGUAAAGGCCCACCGAGGCGACGAUCCGUAGCUGGUCUGAGAGGAUGAUCAGCCACACUGGAACUGAGACACGGUCCAGACUCCUACGGGAGGCAGCAGUGGGGAAUAUUGGACAAUGGGCGCAAGCCUGAUCCAGCCAUACCGCGUGAGUGAAGAAGGCCUUCGGGUUGUAAAGCCCUUUUGUUGGGAAAGAAAAGCAGCAGGUUAAUACCCCGCUGUUCUGACGGUACCCAAAGAAUAAGCACCGGCUAACUUCGUG
rnacentral:rRNA from 1 species